UACGUAGGCAGCAAGCGUUGUUCGGAAUUACUGGGCGUAAAGAGUGUGUAGGCGGUGCUCUAAGUCUGUCGUGAAAUCUCCCGGCUUAACUGGGAGGGUGCGGCGGAAACUGGAGUGCUCGAGGAUGGGAGAGGUAAGCGGAAUUCCUGGUGUAGCGGUGAAAUGCGUAGAUAUCAGGAGGAACACCUGUGGUGUAGACAGCUUACUGGACCAUUUCUGACGCUGAGACACGAAAGCGUGGGUAGCAAACAGG
rnacentral:rRNA from 1 species